rnacentral:rRNA from 1 species
GUGGGGAAUAUUGGACAAUGGGCGAAAGCCUGACCCAGCAACGCCGCGUGAAGGAAGAAGGUUUUCGGAUCGUAAACUUCUAUCCUUGGUGAAGAUAAUGACGGUAGCCAAGAAGGAAGCCCCGGCUAACUACGUGCCAGCAGCCGCGGUAAUACGUAGGGGGCAAGCGUUGUCCGGAAUGAUUGGGCGUAAAGGGCGCGUAGGCGGCCCGGUAAGUCUGAAGUGAAAGUCCUGCUUUUAAGGUGGGAAUUGCUUUGGAUACUGUCGGGCUUGAGUGCAGGAGAGGUAAGCGGAAUUCCCGGUGUAGCGGUGAAAUGCGUAGAGAUCGGGAGGAACACCAGUGGCGAAGGCGGCUUACUGGACUGUAACUGACGCUGAGGCGCGAAAGUGUGGGGAGCAAACAGGAUUAGAAACCCGUGUAGUCC